rnacentral:rRNA from 1 species
CGUAGGCAGCGAGCGUUGUUCGGAAUUACUGGGCGUAAAGAGUGUGUAGGCGGUGCUCUAAGUCUGUUGUGAAAUCUCCCGGCUCAACUGGGAGGGUGCGGCGGAAACUGGAGUGCUCGAGGGUGGGAGAGGUAAGCGGAAUUCCUGGUGUAGCGGUGAAAUGCGUAGAUAUCAGGAGGAACACCUGUGGUGUAGACAGCUUACUGGACCACUUCUGACGCUGAGACACGAAAGCGUGGGUAGCAAACAGGAUUAGAUACCCUGGUAGUCCACGCCCUAAACGAUGCAUACUUGGUGUGAGCCAUUCAUUUGGUUCGUGCCGGAGCUAACGCGUUAAGUAUGCCGCCUGGGGAGUACGGUCGCAAGGCUG